rnacentral:tRNA from 1 species
GGGCGCGUAGCUCAGUUGGUUAGAGCAUUUGUCUUACAAACAAAGGGUCAGAGGUUCGAGUCCUCUCG